AUAUAAGGAAUGCUUCUUUAUCCUUCAUUUUAGUAAGUUUGUUGUGUUAAGGGGUUAUCUUAGAGCUACUACGGGGCACAACAAUGACGGAGCUCCUGUUGUGUUUUAACUGUUGCAUUGGUGACCAGCCCCAGCCGAAGCACCCAAGACUUGACAGGCACAUGAUAGGACAGCCAAUGAACUUUGUGCACAUUACCCAUAUUGGAACAAAAGAGAUGGCCAGUAAUUCUUCCUCAGCUGGACAAAUCCAGGAACAGAUGAAAUCCAAAGGCGGC